GCUAUCGCUGUGACAGAGGCCGUGGUAAGACAGAGGGCCUAGGUGUUGUUUGGAGUCACGGUGCGUAAAUGUUGCGUAUGUGGUGGGGUAAGUCGGAUGUGAAAGCUCCGAGCUCGACUCGGAAAUGGCAUGGGAAACUACCCUGCUGGAGGGGCGGAGGGGGGACUGGAAUUCUCGGUGUAGCAGUGAAAUGCGUAGAUAUCGAGAGGAACACCAGUGGCGAAGGCGAGUCCCUGGACGACUCCUGACACUGAGGCACGAAAGCUAGGGGAGCAAACAGGAUUAGAUACCCGAGUAGUC
rnacentral:rRNA from 1 species